UUGAAUCAGUACUCAUCCUUGGGAGGAGCCAUUGCUGAUGCUGUUAGCUGGCUAUGAUCUGGCCAUGCCUMCCGGAUAUCCCAUCAUAUUCCUUCUGGACGUACCUCUGGGAUCCAGGAGACACUGGUUCUGAUGCUGCUUCUGCUGCUCCAAAGUUCACCUUUUACUCUCCACAAGGGUUUUGCCUCCUGCUGGUCGGGGUUGUCUCAUCUUGGUUCCCCCCUGGUUGCCACCGUGGAGGGAGCUGGCUGACCCGGCUGGAUCCACGCACACUUGGGGGCUGUGAAGCUUGCUGGGUGCCCAGGCUCAGAAAACGCAUCAACGAGUUAUAGCAGCAGCACCAAGUGAAGCAGAAAGCGAGACGGGUCAUCACUCACGCCGCGUCCUCUGUGGGAUGGUUCCUCUGRUCCCUCCUCCGUCCAAAUCCCCUCGCUCCUGGAUCAGCUAACGCCACCCCCUCCUUUCCUUCUCUGUGCUCCUCCCUUGUCUUCUGGACUAAAGUCACCUCAUGUGUUUUCUAUUGGAAAUGCCUGCUUUCUUUCCUUGAGGCCCGAGGAAACUCCUUGGGUCCUUCUGGUCACCCUGCCACCUAGCACAGGUCCUGGCCCGAGGGAGAC